rnacentral:rRNA from 1 species
CCAAUAGCGUAUAUUAAAGUUGCUGCAGUUAAAAAGCUCGUAGUUGAAUUUCGGGACCAAUAUGUUGGUCGUGCCUCGGUAUGUACUGAUAUUUUUGGUUUCUCCCUUCUGAUGAACCUUGAUGUCAUUAAUUUGGUGUCUUGGGGAAUCAGGACUGUUACUUUGAAAAAAUUAGAGUGUUUAAAGCAGGCUCACGCUUGAAUACAUUAGCAUGGAAUAAUGAAAUAGGACGUUUGAUUCUAUUUUGUUGGUUUCUAGGAUUGACGUAAUGAUUAAUAGGGAUAGUUGGGGGCAUUAGUAUUCAAUUGUCAGAGGUGAAAUUCUUGGAUUUAUUGAAGACUAACUACUGCGAAAGCAUUUGCCAAGGAUGUUUUCAUUAAUCAAGAACGAAAGUUAAGGGAUCGAAGACGAUCAGAUACCGUCGUAGUCUUAACCAUAAACUAUGCCGACUAGGGGUCGGAUGAUGUUAAUUUUUUAAUGACUCAUUCGGCGCCUUACG